rnacentral:pre_miRNA from 1 species
CAGAUGAUAUAGAUGAGGCGGAUUUUGGCACAAGCAUGUAUCAUUUCAGCGAGCAUAUACCUCCAUCAAGGGAAAGCAAGAGUUUGAGCGAAGCUCCGUUCAUUCUUCGACUGAGGUAAGCGCCUCACUUCACCAUUGUAUUAUAUCAUCUGUUGUGAUUUGUUCUUCAUUUUGUUUCUG